rnacentral:rRNA from 1 species
UACAGAGGGGGCAAGCGUUAUUCGGAAUUAUUGGGCGUAAAGGGCGCGUAGGCGGCUUUGCAAGUGACGGGUGAAAGCCCUCGGCUUAACCGAGGAACUGCCUGUCAGACUGUAAGGCUUGAGACCGGGAGAGGUGAGUGGAAUUCCCAGUGUAGCGGUGAAAUGCGUAGAGAUCAUGAGGAAGACCAGUGGCGAAGGCGGGUCUCUGGACAGUUCCUGACGCUGAGGCACGAAGGUCAGGGGAGCAAACGGG